AUUGAACGCUGGCGGCAUGCCUUACACAUGCAAGUCGAACGGUAACAGGUCUUCGGAUGCUGACGAGUGGCGAACGGGUGAGUAAUACAUCGGAACGUGCCCGAUCGUGGGGGAUAACGCAGCGAAAGCUGUGCUAAUACCGCAUACGAUCUACGGAUGAAAGCGGGGGACUCGCAAGGGCCUCGCGCGGACGGAGCGGCCGAUGGCAGAUUAGGUAGUUGGUGGGAUAAAAGCUUACCAAGCCGACGAUCUGUAGCUGGUCUGAGAGGACGACCAGCCACACUGGGACUGAGACACGGCCCAGACUCCUACGGGAGGCAGCAGUGGGGAAUUUUGGACAAUGGGCGCAAGCCUGAUCCAGCCAUGCCGCGUGCAGGAUGAAGGCCUUCGGGUUGUAAACUGCUUUUGUACGGAACGAAAAAGCCUUCUCUAAUAAAGGGGGUGAAUGACGGUACCGUAAGAAUAAGCACCGGCUAACUACGUG
rnacentral:rRNA from 1 species